rnacentral:tRNA from 1 species
GGGGCUGGGGCUCAGUGGUAGAGCACUCACCUUGUAUGUGUGAGGCCCUGAGUUCAAUCCUCAGUACCA